rnacentral:sRNA from 1 species
UAUGAAUGUGCUAUGGCUUGAAUUGCCCGC